CAUGGUUGUCGUCAGCUCGUGUCGUGAGAUGUUGGGUUAAGUCCGCAACGAGCGCAACCCUUAUCCUUAGUUACCAGCACGUAAAGGUGGGGACUCUAGGGAGACCGCCGGGGACGACUCGGAGGAAGGUGGGGACGACGUCAAAUCAUCAUGCCCCUUAUGUCUUGGGCUACACACGUGCUACAAUGGCCGCAACAGAGGGAAGCGAGAGCGCAAGCUGGAGCAAAACCCUAAAAAGCGGUCCCAGUUCGGAUUGUGGGCUGCAACCCGCCCACAUGAAGUCGGAGUUGCUAGUAAUCGCGAAUCAGCAUGUCGCGGUGAAUGCGUUCCCGGGCCUU
rnacentral:rRNA from 1 species